GACGAACGCUGGCGGCGUGCCUAAUACAUGCAAGUAGAACGCUGACGGAGUAGCUUGCUUCUCUGGCUGAGUUCCGAACGGGUGAGUAACGCGUAUGUAACCUGCUUGGCUGUGGGGGAUAACUAUUGGUAACGAUAGCUACUACCGCAUAAUAGACGUCGUUGCAUGGUAACCGUUGGAAAGUUGCACUUGCCCCGCUACCAGAUGGAGCUGCGUUGUAUUAGCUAGUUGGUGGGGUAACGGCUCACCAAGGCGACGAUACAUAGCCGACCUGAGAGGGUGAUCGGCCACACUGGAACUGAGACACGGCCCAGACUCCUACGGGAGGCAGCAGUAGGGAAUCUUCGGCAAUGGACGGAAGUCUGACCGAGCAACGCCGCGUGAGUGAAGAAGGUUUUCGGAUCGUAAAGCUCUGUUGUAAGGGAAGAACGAGUGUGGGAGUGGAAAGUGCACACUGGGAGGGAAUCUUACCAGAAAGGGACGGCUAACUACGU
rnacentral:rRNA from 1 species